rnacentral:rRNA from 1 species
GAUGAACGCUAGCGACAGGCUUAACACAUGCAAGUCGAGGGGCAGCACAGGUAGCAAUACUGGGUGGCGACCGGCGCACGGGUGCGUAACGCGUAUGCAACCUACCUAUAAUAGGGGGAUAGCCUUCUGAAAGGGAGAUUAAGACCGCAUAAUACAACUGACUCGCAUGGAUUGGUUGUAAAAUAUUUAUAGAUUAUAGAUGGGCAUGCGUCUGAUUAGAUAGUUGGAGAGGUAACGGCUCACCAAGUCAACGAUCAGUAGGGGUUCUGAGGGGAAGGUCCCCCACAUUGGAACUGAGACACGGUCCAAACUCCUACGGGAGGCAGCAGUGAGGAAUAUUGGUCGAUGGGCGAGAGCCUGAACCAGCCAAGUCGCGUGAAGGAAGAAGGUCUUAUGGAUUGUAAACUUCUUUUAUAGGGGAAUAAAGAUGAGUACGCGUACUCAGUUGUAGGUACCCUAAGAAUAAGGAUCGGCUAACUCCGUGCCAGCAGCCGCGGUAAUACGGAGGAUCCGAGCGUUAUCCGGAUUUAUUGGGUUUAAAGGGUGCGUAGGCGGGUUGAUAAGUCAGUGGUGAAAGGUUUGCGCUCAACGUAGACAUUGCCAUUGAAACUGUCAGUCUUGAGUACAAAUGAGGUAGGCGGAAUGUGUUGUGUAGCGGUGAAAUGCAUAGAUAUGACACAGAACACCUAUUGCGAAGGCAGCUUACUGGGAUGUAACUGACGCUGAGGCACGAAAGCGUG